CCGUUGACUUGUGCUCUCCAUCUCCUUGUCUUUACUGGGGAACCUGCGCAAGUAUUGGGUGUCAAAGAAGUUGUAAAUGUUUGGAUGGUUUUACAGGAAAUAAUUGUGAGACAACUCCAAUUUCAAGCUCCUCGACAAAACAAAAUUACACUGCGAGCAUUGGGGAAUCUAUCAUAGUAACGCUGAAUAUUCAAAGCAAUCACGGCCCAGUGAGGAUACGAGCCUUCAGAAAUUCAAACUUCAACAAUGUGAUUUCUACCAAACGAAAUGUUGUUUCAAAUGUUGAGAUACAGCUUGGGCCUUUUACGGAUCCCAGCACGAAAACUAUAUAUACUUUCCGUGCGGACCCUGAGUCCAACCUUGAUGCCUAUUUCAUAUCAACAUCGAUAACUGUCGUUAUUGAAGCUGAAGCUACAAUAAGUCAGCUACAACCGACAGAUAUCACCAUUGGAACAAGCCCAUAUUCUAUCAGAUGUUACGCAACCGGUGUGCCAUCACCAACUAUUCGUUGGUACAAAGAUUCAAUAC